rnacentral:rRNA from 1 species
GAUGAACGCUGGCGGCGUGCCUAAUACAUGCAAGUCGAGCGAACGGACGAGAAGCUUGCUUCUCUGAUGUUAGCGGCGGACGGGUGAGUAACACGUGGAUAACCUACCUAUAAGACUGGGAUAACUUCGGGAAACCGGAGCUAAUACCGGAUGAUAUUUUGAACCGCAUGGUUCAAAAGUGAAAGACGGUCUUGCUGUCACUUAUAGAUGGAUCCGCGCUGCAUUAGCUAGUUGGUAAGGUAACGGCUUACCAAGGCAACGAUGCAUAGCCGACCUGAGAGGGUGAUCGGCCACACUGGAACUGAACCACGGUCCUGGCUCCUACGGGAGGCAGCAGUAGGGAAGCUUCCGCAAUGGGCGAAAGCCUGACGGAGCAACGCCGCGUGAGUGAUGAGGGUCUUCGGAUCGUAAAACUCUGUUAUUAGGGAAGAACAUAUGUGUAAGUAACUGUGCACAUCUUGACGGUACCUAAUCAGAAAGCCACGGCUAACUACGUG